AGACCUGGUGCUUACCAGGCUGUGUUCUUACACUGACUGUAUAGAAAGAGGCAGCAGAGUAAACCUACCCUAUGUACACCCCCACCCACACCCCAUGCCUAGCCUGUAUUGUGAAUGCGGGAACAUGG
ensembl:snoRNA